UAAAUAAAUGAGCAGGAACAAGAAAACAGUC
rnacentral:piRNA from 1 species